GUGAUGCAUUUUGGGCAUGGCAUUGUCCCUUGGUAGACAGGCAGUGUUUGAUUUUGGUGCCUUUUUCAUUUUGCUGCUUUGACAUAGGACUCAAAUGUGACCUUGAAGAGUGCAGGAUAGUGGUGGCUGAAGGGUGGGGGGUGAGGAGGAGGCUACACCAAACAAACACUUCCAUUAUUUGUUUCAAAGGGUGAGAACUUUGAUAUAAAUAUUUAACAGGAUUGAAUGGAAGAGUACAAGAGUGAAAAACUAGACUAGCAUUAGUAAAAAAACAACAACCUGUGUCUUAGAACACUUUCGGGUGCCCUUUAGUGCCAAAGCCUCCUCAUUGCCUGCCGCAACCUCUGGCCAUGCUGUAGCCUUUUGGUUGGACCGAUGGCAGCAUCAGCAACUGAUGGUGUAGGAGGGAAAGGUCAUGAGCUCAUGGGAGACUUAUGUGAGACUCUCUGGUCUGGAAGAUACUGGCCUUGACUCUUCUGCAGGGAAACAGCUGCAAUCAUCCAGAUGCUGCUAGAGUGAGUGGCACAAGUGGCCCUCGUUCUGCAGGGAUGUGCUGGGAAGUCCUUUUUCUGCCAAGGGCAUUCAAUGUAUUUUGCCCUCCUCUUUUGAAGGCAGCCAAGAACAGCUUGCAGCAUCUCACAGAGGCCCUCUAAUGGCAUCCUGGAGGCACUCUCCUGUCGGGGGACCCUUGCAACCUGCAGGAGCUGUGCCACAAGUUCACCAAGCGCCUGGUAAGAACCCUUUCUCCUCUGGGCAUUCCUUCUCCAGUGGAGAGGCAAGAAGGUGGAGCACAGUUGGCACACCAAGAGCAGACUACCGGUACAUGGCAUUUGACUUUGUCUGUUAUCUUUGAUUAGGCACCAGAGCUCAGCAAGGGGGUUGGACGCUGUCAGGGAACUGCCAUCAGUGCCGGAGGGAGAGAGCAAAAUCCAGAGGGAUUCCGGAGAGUGUCCCGGGAUUGGGAGAGGCAGCCCAUCUUCUGGGGAAGAGAAUCAGCGUAACACCAGUGGAGAAGGGGGGCAGAUGGGGGAAGCGGCGAGGCGGUCCCAUGACUCCUUGCCGGGGACCAGCGGGGAGAGUAGAGGUCCUCCGCUACCUACGCCCUCCUUGCGCAGAAGGCUUCUGCGCAGGGAGAGUAGGAGGAGACUUGGCGUCAAACAGCUUCUUUGCUGGAAGAAGUUUAAGAAAUGCCCACUGACGGAUUCUGCCAGCGAUUGAGACAGCCACGGGUGAGUGGCUGUCCGGACAGAAAAGGUUCACUCAGGCAAUCCAGCCAGGUGUUUGCACCGGCUUACGCACGAGCAACCCCUAGAACCAUUACAGACGCCUUUGCUUAUGACGUCCUUUCCCACUUCCACAGCAGGCAGGCUUCAGUGAGGAGCGCUACUGCCAUGCUCAUCGCUAAUUGAAACAGUGGAUAGCCAACAG
rnacentral:lncRNA from 1 species